GAGGGCAAGUCUGGUGCCAGCAGCCGCGGUAAUUCCAGCUCCAAUAGCGUAUAUUAAAGUUGUUGCAGUUAAAAAGCUCGUAGUUGAAACUUGGGUCUGGCUGGCGGGUCCGCCUCACCGCGUGCACUCGUCCGGCCGGGCCUUCCUUCUGAAGAACCUCAUGCCCUUCACUGGGCGUGUUGGGGAAUCAGGACUUUUACUUUGAAAAAAUUAGAGUGUUCAAAGCAGGCCUUUGCUCGAAUACGUUAGCAUGGAAUAAUAAAAUAGGACGUGCGUUCCUAUUUUGUUGGUUUCUAGGAACGCCGUAAUGAUUAACAGGAACAGUCGGGGGCGUCAGUAUUCAGUUGUCAGAGGUGAAAUUCUUGGAUUUACUGAAGACUAACUACUGCGAAGGCAUUCGCCAAGGAUGUUUUCAUUAAUCAGUGAACGAAAGUUAGGGGAUCGAAGACGAUCAGAUACCGUCGUAGUCUUAACCGUAAACUAUGCCGACUAGGGAUCGGGCGAUGUUCUUUUUCUGACUCGCUCGGCACCUUACGAGAAAUCAAAGUUUUUGGGUUCUGGGGGGAUUAUGGUCGCAAGGCUGAAACUUAAAGAAAUUGACGGAAGGUCACCACCAGGCGUGGAGCCUGCGGCUUAAUUUGACUCAACACGGGGAAACUCACCAGGUUCAGAUGAAAUAAGGAUUGACAGAUUGAGAGCUCUUUCUUGAUUUUUCAGGUGGUGGUGCAUGGCCGUUCUUAGUUCGUGGGUUGACUUGUCUGCUUAAUUGCGAUAACGAGCGAGACCUUACUCUGCUAAAUAGCCAGGCUAGCUUUGGCUGGUCGCCGGCUUCUUAGAGAGACUAUCGACUCAAGUCGAUGGAAGUUUGAGGCAAUAACAGGUCUGUGAUGCCCUUAGAUAUUCUGGGCCGCACGCGCGCUACAAUGACAGAGCCAACGAGUUCAUCACCUUGGCCGAAAGGCCUGGGUAAUCUUGUUAAACUCUGUCGUGCUGGGGAUAGAGCAUUGCAAUUAUUGCUCUUCAACGAGGAAUGCCUAGUACGUGCAUGUCAUCAGCAUGCGCGGAUUAC
rnacentral:rRNA from 1 species